GACAGAGGGUGCGAACGUUGCUCGGAAUUACUGGGCGUAAAGCGCGUGUAGGCGGGCAUGCAAGUCAGGUGUGAAAGCCCCGAGCUCAACUUGGGAAUUGCACUUGAAACUGCAUGUCUUGAGUGCCGGAGAGGAUCGUGGAAUUCCUGGUGUAGAGGUGAAAUUCGUAGAUAUCAGGAGGAACACCGGUGGCGAAGGCGGCGAUCUGGACGGUAACUGACGCUGAGACGCGAAAGCGUGGGGAGCAAACAGG
rnacentral:rRNA from 1 species